rnacentral:rRNA from 1 species
UACGUAGGGGGCAAGCGUUGUCCGGAUUUAUUGGGCGUAAAGAGCGUGUAGGCGGCCAGGGAGGUCCGUUGUGAAAACUCGAGGCUCAACCUCGAGACGCCGAUGGAAACCCCCUGGCUAGAGUCCGGAAGAGGAGAAUGGAAUUCCUGGUGUAGCGGUGAAAUGCGCAGAUAUCAGGAAGAACACCCGUGGCUAAGGCGGUUCUCUAGUACGGUACUGACGCUGAGACGCGAAAGCGUGGGGUGCGAACAGG